rnacentral:rRNA from 1 species
GAUGAACGCUGGCGGCGUGCCUAACACAUGCAAGUCGAACGAAAAGACGCUGCGCUUGCUGGGCGCUCGAUUGCCGAACGGGGGAGAAUCACGCGAGUAUCCUGCCCCUGUCAUUGGGAUAACACCUCGAAACACGGGCGAUAAUCCGAUAGGAGCUCCUGAUGCACGGUGGGGGUUGGUAAGAGUCGGCGGUUGGGGAUGGACUCGCGGCUUACCAGCUUGUUGGGCGGGUAGUGGCUUACCAAGCUUUUGACGGGUAGCCGGCCUGAGCGGGUGACGGGCCACGUUGGGACUAAGGAACGGACCAGACUCCUACGGGGGGCAGCAGUGGAGAAUAGUGCACAAUGGGCGGAAGCGUGAUGCAGCAGCGCCACGUGCUGGAUAACGGCCUUCGGGUUGUAAACCGCUUUCGCCUGUGACGAAGCGUGAGUGACGGUAAUGGGUAAAGAAGCACCGGCUAACUACGUG